rnacentral:rRNA from 1 species
CCUACGGGAGGCAGCAGUGGGGAAUAUUGGACAAUGGGGGGAACCCUGAUCCAGCGACGCCGCGUGAGUGAAGAAGUAUUUCGGUAUGUAAAGCUCUAUCAGCAGGGAAGAAAAUGACGGUACCUGACUAAGAAGCCCCGGCUAACUACGUGCCAGCAGCCGCGGUAAUACGUAGGGGGCAAGCGUUAUCCGGAUUUACUGGGUGUAAAGGGAGCGUAGACGGUGCAGCAAGUCUGAUGUGAAAGGUCGGGGCCCAACCCCGGGACUGCAUUGGAAACUGUGGAACUGGAGUGCAGGAGAGGUAAGCGGAAUGCCUAGUGGAGCGGUGAAAUGCGUAGAUAUUAGGAGGAACACCAGUGGCGAAGGCGGCUUACUGGACUGUAACUGACGUUGAGGCUCGAAAGCGUGGGGAGCAAACAGGAUUAGAUACCCGAGUAGUC